AGACGGAGGGUGCAAGCGUUGUUCGGAAUUACUGGGCGUAAAGCGCGUGUAGGCGGGACGGCAAGUCAGGUGUGAAAGCCCUCGGCUCAACCGAGGAACUGCGCUUGAAACUGCCGUUCUUGAGUUCGGGAGAGGGAAGUGGAAUUCCUAGUGUAGAGGUGAAAUUCGUAGAUAUUAGGAGGAACACCGGUGGCGAAGGCGGCUUCCUGGACCGAUACUGACGCUGCGACGCGAAAGCGUGGGGAGCAAACAGGAUUAGAAACCCCAGUAGUCC
rnacentral:rRNA from 1 species